UACGUAGGGUGCAGGCGUUAAUCGGAAUUACUGGGCGUAAAGCGUGCGCAGGCGGUUUGCUAAGACAGGUGUGAAAUCCCCGGGCUUAACCUGGGAACUGCGCUUGUUACUGGCAGGCUUGAGUGUGGCAGAGGGGGGUGGAAUUCCUGGUGUAGCAGUGAAAUGCGUAGAUAUCAGGAGGAACACCGAUGGCGAAGGCAGGUCUCUGGGCUGACACUGACGCUCAUGCACGAAAGCGUGGGGAGCAAACAGG
rnacentral:rRNA from 1 species